rnacentral:rRNA from 1 species
GACGAACGCUGGCGGCGUGCUUAACACAUGCAAGUCGAGCGGUAAGGCCCUUUCGGGGGUACACGAGCGGCGAACGGGUGAGUAACACGUGGGUGACCUGCCCUUAGCUCUGGGAUAAGCCUGGGAAACUGGGUCUAAUACCGGAUAUGACUCCAUGACGCAUGUUGUGGGGUGGAAAGCCUUGUGCGGCUAGGGAUGGGCCCGCGGCCUAUCAGCUUGUUGGUGGGGUGAUGGCCUACCAAGGCGGCGACGGGUAGCCGGCCUGAGAGGGCGACCGGCCACACUGGGACUGAGACACGGCCCCAGACUCCUACGGGAGGGCAGCAGUGGGGAAUCUUGCGCAAUGGGCGAAAGCCUGACGCAGCGACGCCGCGUGAGGGAUGACGGCCUCGGUU